rnacentral:tRNA from 1 species
UGACGUAUAGCCAAAACAGGUAAGGCGAUAGCUUUUGGUGCUGUAGAUUAUAGGUUCGAGUCCUUUUACGUCAG